CCUACGGGAGGCAGCAGUGAGGAAUAUUGGUCAAUGGGCGCGAGCCUGAACCAGCCAAGUCGCGUGAGGGAGGACGGCCCUACGGGUUGUAAACCUCUUUUGCCGGGGAGCAACGGGCGCCACGUGUGGCGUCACUGAGAGUACCCGGAGAAAAAGCAUCGGCUAACUCCGUGCCAGCAGCCGCGGUAAUACGGAGGAUGCGAGCGUUAUCCGGAUUUAUUGGGUUAAAAGGGUGCGUAGGCGGAUAGUUAAGUCAGUGGUAAAAUUGAGGGGCUCAACCUCUUCCCGCCAUUGAAACUGGCGUUGUUGAGUGGAAGAGAGGUAUGCGGAAUGCGUGGUGUAGCGGUGAAAUGCUUAGAUAUUACGAAGAACUCCGAUGGCGAAGGCAGCUUACUAAGCUGCCACUGACAUUGAGGCUCGAAAGUGUGGGUAUCAAACAGGAUUAGAUACCCCUGUAGUC
rnacentral:rRNA from 1 species